ensembl:lncRNA
CAGCUACCCUCAACGGCAGUAGCUGUUAAAGCCGAAAGAGAAGCAGACAACUGGUCUGGUCCGCAAGAUGAAAAUUAGCACAUCUCAAGUGUAGAGUUUAGCCACAGAAGACAGUCGUUUGCUCAUUUGUAAUUGACAAGGGCCUUCCAGCAAACAAAAAGCUUGUAUUCGGUGUAUUGUUUAGCCGUCAAAGAUUAGAAACAACCCCAAAAAGCGAGCGAGGAUGUUGGUCCCCGCGGGAAGAUAAUGAAGAGGCUGCGCGUUUUGUUGGUGUGCCUCAUUGUAGCUCUCCUGUGCUGGUACCCCAGUCAAUAUGUGUAUUGUUCAGAGCAGAGCUCGUCUGGCCCUGGUCAGUCUGCGGGGGACAGAAACCCGGAGGACCAGAAGCAGAAGCAGGAGCAGGACUCCACGCAACACAAGGUGUUGGAAGAAUGGACGACACACACAUCAUACGAUAUGGGACUAGAGACGGAGAGAGCAGCACUAGAAAAGCUAGCAACACACAAUGUGCUCCAAGAACAGACUGUGAAUCCUCGGCAGGCUGAGGGAGAGGAGACCAAGCCUGACCCAGAGUCUGAUACUGUACCUGUUGCCCCUGAGCCCGAACCCCAACCAGACCCCCAUGUUGACGAGGACCUGCAGACUGACACCCAGGACCAUGACCAGGAGGUCCCUGUGUCCUCAACUCCAGAACCAGUUCCAGCACAGGGCCAAGUGUCUACAGAUGCCCCAGCCCCAGCAGAGAUUGUCAGUGACGCCCCUGCUGCACAGCCCAGCCUGGACUCAACCUCAGCCCCAGAUGAAGCUGAAAACACACCUACCUCACAGAGUGACGACCACACCCACACAGAGUAAGCUCAGAAUCACUUCCUCAUUCCAGAGACCUUUUUCUCUGGCAUUAGAAGUUGGCUAUAACCACAGAGAAGUCACAUUGGCAAACUAAAAAUUAGAAUCGUAGAUGCCUAAGAAAAUACAUGUUCCUCUUAUGAUGGUUAAAGCCAAUUUCAAGCCAAUCUAGGCAUGUUUUCCAUUGCACAUUUGCUUUGAUAUUUUUUGUUGGUUAACUUUUGUUCCCUUCAGUUUUUAUUUGAAUUAUUUAGUUUUAUUUAUUUAACCACGGACUGAUCACAAACUGAAAGAUAAGCUCAAAGGAGAGCUGGUCUGACAGCCUGGAUAUUUCCAUGUCACAUUUUAUGGAACUGGUGGCCAGUGUCGAGAAGUUACACGAAACUGAUCAUACUGUAUACGGUGACAUUUUGUCUAAAGGAAGUUAAUGGACAUUGUGGGAAAUCUCCUGUGUGGACAAGGAACUUUGACCAAGAUUAUUCUGGAAAUGACCUGCGUCGAACCUUCAAGAAGAAUAUGUCCAUCCAGUGGCAACUCCUCUCUCAAAGUGGCUGUCAACAUCAGGACAUUUUAAGACGUGCACAUCAACUGCCCCACCAGCAAGCGACCUCUCCACCCCCUUUGUCCAUCUAUUUCUUGCUCUACUCUCUCCCUAUGCUCUGUGUCGUUUAUCUCCUCUUUCUCUUCCCUUCCUCUCUCCCGCCCCAUCCUCCCCUCUCUACCAUCCCCAGUGUAAGGAGGUGUGAUAAACGCCGUGUCCUUUCUUUCCCUCAGUGCGGUGCGGGUUGCCAGUGCAGGAGAUGAACUCGCAGUAGACAACUUUGUCUUUGCUGAGCACUCUGAUUCACAGUGCUGGGUCAUUCCCCCCGAACUGGCAACCUGUGAAAGCUCCCCUUUUGGCAGGCCUCUGUUCAGGUGAGUUUCUAACCCCCGGAAUCCAAUCAAAGCACAGAGACAGGUAAUCAAGGUACAAGCUACACCUCUCUGCUGUGCGCAACCGUCAACCGCUGGCCUUGCUCUCCAUUUACUUCUGCUUUUUUAAAUUUUAUUUAUUUCCUUUUUCCAUCGUUUUGCCUGCUCACGACCAAGGAUUGAAUAUACUUUAUGGUUUGCAUCAUGUGUCCCACAUCGGAGUACUUAAUUGAGUUCUCAACCCUUCUUUAUCUUUAUUCUUCCUCCCUCCAUUACCAUCUUAUCCCUCCAACUCCUCCUCCCUCUCCACCUCAUUG